rnacentral:rRNA from 1 species
UACGAAGGGGGCUAGCGUUGCUCGGAAUCACUGGGCGUAAAGCGCACGUAGGCGGGUCGUUAAGUCGGGGGGGAAAUCCUGGAGCUCAACUCCAGAACUGCCUUCGAAACUGGCGAACUAGAAUCUGGCAGAGGGGGGUGGAAUUCCACGUGUAGCAGUGAAAUGCGUAGAGAUGUGGAGGAACAUCGAUGGCGAAGGCAGCCCCCUGGGCUGAGAUUGACGCUCAGGCACGAAAGCGUGAGGAGCAAACAGG